UCUGAAUGCGAAGAAAACUACAAUAAAAUGAAUGAACUGAGGACAAUUAAUGAUUUUAAUAAGGAAAGUCCUGAAGCCCCGAGAUGAAGCGACAGGAAAUGUUCAGGAAAAGAUGAAAUAACAAAAUCAGACGGUUCUUUUAGAAGAUACAAUGUGAGGAGGUGUUUGAAACAGAGACCACAUUCCACAUCAGAGUGAGACACCAUGUUAAUACAAGAUCUUUGGAGGAGCCUCACCCAGACUCCAGAGAGAAAAACAAAGAUUUUAAACUUUUUAAAAAACACUACAGGAAAUUUAAAGUUUAUAGGUCAGAAUCUGAAAAUAAAUCAAAAAAGUAUUUUUCAGUGAAAACUAUAAAACAUUGAGUCAGACUGAGAAAUCUCCCAUCAGCCUCAGCGGUUAGAGAAACACUGAUCGUCUCUGUUUCAUUGAUCUGAAUCCGUUUCAGUUUGAAGAUGAAUCUGUUUUUAAUAUCAAUAUCUUUCUGUUCAGUCACAGUCUGAUGAGAUUUUAAAGUUGUGUUCAGGAACAUCAGAGAAAUAAAGACUUAGCACGUUUAAAAUGGUGAAAUACAAAUGUUUAUUAUAUGACAAAAAUACUGUCACUAACUAAUGUGAUCAUCAUCAUCAUGUGGCAUCAGCUCAUCCAAUCAGGACAGACUCUGCUCUGUUUAAAUCUGACACAUAAACUUCUGAAAGAGAAUUAAAUUAACAAAACCCAGAAACAAACAACCUGCUCCUCAUCGGUUCAGACAGAGGACCAGAGGUCUGAGGUCUGCAGAGGUCUGAGGAUCAGAGGUCUGAGGUCUACAGAGGUCUGAGGACCACAGAGGUCUGAGGAUCAGAGGUCUGAGGUCUACAGAGGUCUGAGGACCACAGAGGUCUGAGGAUCAGAGGUCUGAGGACCACAGAGGUCUGAGGAUCAGAGGUCUGAGGUCUACAGAAGUCUGAGGACCACAGAGGUCUGAGGAUCAGUCUGAACCUUUUCUUCCUUUAAAUUAUUAUUUGUCUAAAAGCAGAGAUCAGU